UUGCGCUGAAUAGAAAAUUACGAUUAUUUUUUUAUGCAAAAAGACAAUCGCCACGAUCGCUUUUAAUCGUUGAAAGCAAACACGUGUUGUUGUUGCAAAUUAAAAAUAAAAAGUACUGUGUCAUUUGCGACACGGUGUCAUGUCUAACAUCACGACCAGACAGAGAAUUCACUUAGAGAGCAAAGCGUGGCCGGUCCGCGAACGGAACUGGAACAAAGUGAAAUUUUUUCUGUUUUUCACUUCACCACAAAGUGACAGUUAUCUUCCGCAUCCGUUUAUUUAAAAAUACUAUCAAAAUGUAUAGGGAUUAUAACUUUUAAUUAAUGAAUAUUGCAAACAAUAAAACUAUGUUAAUGUUAAUUCCACAGGAACGUUGUAAAAGUACUAAAUAAUCCACUUUAAACAGUUUUUUAUGCUUUUUAUAAACAAAAACAAGUUAAUCCGCUAAUAAAACGAACUUAAAACUCAUAAAACACGUUAAUUUUCUUAUAUACGUUAGAGCUAAACAUAACCCUAAAAAUGACGUUUACAAUGUUGCCACACCUAACCUAAUCCAAAAAUAAGUAAAUUUAUAUCAUACGCCUAAGAUUCAAUGAUUGAUGUUAAUAAAUCACACACGAUUUGUAUACAAACCGCACACGCACAGUCCUUGACAUAAAAAUAGCACGGAAAAGCGCGAAAUAUAAUUCAGACGCGGCGUAUACCAUAGAUUUGCAAUAACAUCUCCUGAAAAGCUGGAUUACUGGCUUGUGUUAUUGCCUUUUUGAGUGCCUGCGUGAAAUGCAUGAAGCAAGCAAUGAUUACGAACCAUAGCAGUGCUAUAUUUAUGUAACAGUCAAGGUCCUGCAUGUUCAAAACGGAAUUCAGUAAACACUACGUAUUGUACUCGCAUUGCCUAACUCACCAGCUACGCGCAUAAAUAAAACGUAUUCUAUUAAACGUAAAAA